UGCGGUGGUGUGCUUUCCAACCGAAGGCCCAGGACUCAGGUCCCAGGACCACGCACGGAUUCUCGUUAGAUUAAAUGUCUCCUGGGUUAACAGCGGGUACCUCCUGGGGCUGCUUUUGCAGGCCGGCGUUAGCCUCAGCGCAGGCUGGGACAACCUGGCCAUCUGGAUCCCAUUGGCGGGGCUUCAGAGGUUCCUGCGGAGGCUGGAGCAGGCUCUGAACAGUUCUCAGCUUUUCAUCUGGGCACGAAGCAGGUUCGGAUUUUGUGCAGAAUCAUGCAAGAAGUUCAACUGAGACGCUGCUGAAGAGAGGAAGGCUGGAGUCCAGGAUAAGUCUGGAGACAGAAGGCCACGCUCACCAGGAAUCUGGCUGAAAGCACCGCCAGGCCCUGAAGGAGCCGUGAGGGGCACGUGGCCAUCCCGACGGAGGGCCAGCCCCAACUGCUCGCUCUGUGUGGCUGCCACCCCCAUGACCGCGCCCUCCAGAUCAAACGGGAAAAACCUCAUUUGGCCUCAGCACGGUGAGGAACGGGAAGAGCGGCUGGCCCUCCUGACGCUUUGGCCUCCAGUGGGGGUCCCGCUGGCCCAGGCGCCCUGAGCUGAGCAGGGAGUCUUUCUCUUUGCUCAGUGAGCUGCUCUUUCCACCCUCGAGCAGGAACCAAGCAGCCUUUGUAAAGACGGGUGUGCUGUUGCGCAGACCCAAAACAAUGAGCUUUGCUUUGUGUAGAAAUCAACCCUCUGUACAGAAUUACGGCCAGAUGAACACAGAUCUACACUGAUAUUCAAAUGGAAUCACAGUGUUAUUUUCUCAGAUAAGCAAUGAACAUAUUUGAGCUAUGCUUUUUGAUCUUGUCUUGAAACUUACACCCACAGAAUUCGAAAUUUACUUCACCCUUCUUUUUUAUGCCUUGGGCACGUAUGUUUGUGUGUAGAAGUUCACAUACAUGUGAUUAUUCUGAUUAAAAAAAAAAAGAUCAUUAUAGAAAACACAGAAGAGUUUCAAGAAAAACCAAUAAAAGUUACCCACGCUUUCUCCAUUUACAGAUGAGCA